rnacentral:rRNA from 1 species
GAUGAACGCUAGCGGCAGGCUUAACACAUGCAAGUCGAGGGGCAGCGCGGGAUAGCAAUAUCCUGGCGGCGACCGGCGGAAGGGUGCGUAACGCGUGAGCGACAUGCCCGUUGCCCGGGGACAACCGGUGGAAACGCCGACUAAUCCCCGAUGGGAUACGAUGCUUCAUGGCAUUGUAUUGAAAGUUACGGCGGCGACGGAUUGGCUCGCGUCCGAUUAGCUGGUUGGCGGGGUAACGGCCCACCAAGGCUGCGAUCGGUAGGGGUUCUGAGAGGAAGGCCCCCCACAAUGGUACUGAGACACGGCCCAUACUCCUACGGGAGGCAGCAGUGAGGAAUAUUGGUCAAUGGGCGGAAGCCUGAACCAGCCAUGCCGCGUGCGGGAAGGAGGCCCUAUGGGCUGUGAACCGCUUUUGCCUGGGGGCAAUAAGGGCGUCGCGCACGUCCGAUGAGAGUACCAGGCGAAUAAGCAUCGGCUAACUCCGUG